AAAAAGUAUCUAACAAAGAAGACUUUCUGCUGAAAAUAGAGAUUAAAUGCCUGGAAUGGAGAAAAGAGAAGAGUAUAAAUGCUGAAGACAAGAAACUGAGAUCACUGGAGUGAACCCCAGUUCCGAUGAAUUUACAAUUAUGUGAGAUCCUGCCACAGCACCCUAUGAUGGAAAAUUUUCACAGGAAACCUGUUCUUUCAGUUGCUUGAUGAUGCCACUUUCCUGAUGCCACGUUCCUGUCUCAACAGGGCCUUCUCUUGUCUGGAAUUCCAUGUCCUGCUGCUGUAAUCCCUGAACCAGUUACCUUAUAAGCCUCCAUCACAUAUCAGACAUCCUAUAUAUGUUAUUGAAGAAAUAAAUGAACGGAGGGAAGAAGGAAGGACCCAACCAAUUUGAAUUUGGUUCCCUGAGGUGCAAUGUUUGGUUGUUUAUUUGAGAUCUUUCUUGUUUCCUGAGAGUUUGGUGAGCACCUUUAUGAAUAUUUGAACUCUUUAUCAGGACCUGAAGGGUGUCCACUGUGGCCUAGCCUGAGGUCUGCACACCAUGGAUGACCUCACCCUACCUUACCUUAUGGCAGAAGCAUCUCUUGAUAUUCUCCUGUGUGAGAAAGAGAGACACCCUGUGGAUUUCAGAGAGAGCCCAAUGUAGCUCAGUUUACUUGAAUAUUCCAUAAAGGAAAAAUAUUAUUUCUUAAGAAGCUGGCAGCAAAAUAGAGCACAAAGACAGAUAAAGAGGAAGUUCAAGUGACCAGCACAGAUGAACCAAGAUCUAUAGCUUCAUGGCAUUGAGCAGAAAUUCCUCUGGGACUGUUUUCCCUACUGUGUGGCAAACCAAUGAAGAAUGUGCAGGAACCAUACAGAUUUAUAAAUUUGAAAGCAAAAGGUUGGAGAAAGUCAGAGU